CCCAGGACUGUCAAGGAGGGAAAGAGGGGCUGGGGAGCAUCUGGCCCUGGCUGGACUCUGAGUCCUGAUGAAGCCAUCCCCCUCCAGCUCCUGGUCUGGUCUCUGAGGAGAACUUUCUCUCAGUGGUUUCUUCCUUCCAGGGUUCAGCUCCUAGACCACAAUCUGCCCUGCUGGAACCUCAAGGACUAUGGAGUUGGGACAUGGAUCCGUGCUGCACCAAAGUGAGCAGGAAACAGGCAACAGUUGUAUUAUUGAAGAGCUCCACGACCACAGACUGGGAAAAGCGUGAUCAAACGUGAUGCGGAGAACAGAUGCCCGAGCAGGGCUGGCGGUUAAUUA